rnacentral:rRNA from 1 species
GAUGAACGCUGGCGGCGUGCCUAAUACAUGCAAGUCGAGCGAACGGACGAGAAGCUUGCUUGUCUGAUGUUAGCGGCGGACGGGUGAGUAACACGUGGAUAACCUACCUAUAAGACUGGGAUAACUUCGGGAAACCGGAUCUAAUACCGGAUAAUAUGUUGAACCGCAGGGUUCAAAAGUGAAAGACGGUCUUGCUGUCACUUAGAGAUGGAUCCACGCUGCAUUAGCUAGUUGGUAAGGUAACGGCUUACCAAGGCAACGAUGCAUAGCCGACCUGAGAGGGUGAUCAGCCACACUGGAACUGAGACACGGUCCAGACUCCUACGGGAGGCAGCAGUAGGGAAUAUUCCGCAAUGGGCGAAAGCCUGACGGAGCAACGCCGCGUGAGUGAUGAAGGUCUUCGGAUCGUAAAACUCUGUUAUUAGGGAAGAACAUAUGUGUAAGUAACUGUGCACAUCUUGACGGUACCUAAUCAGAAAGCCACGGCUAACUACGUG